rnacentral:rRNA from 1 species
UACGAAGGGGGCUAGCGUUGUUCGGAUUUACUGGGCGUACAGGGAGCGUAGGCGGUUGGAUAAGCCCUCCGUGAAAUCUCCAGGCUUAACCUGGAAAGUGCAGAGGGGACUGUUCAGCUAGAGGAUGGGAGAGGAGCGCGGAAUUCCCGGUGUAGCGGUGAAAUGCGUAGAGAUCGGGAGGAAGGCCGGUGGCGAAGGCGGCGCUCUGGAACAUUUCUGACGCUGAGGCUCGAAAGCGUGGGGAGCAAACAGG